rnacentral:lncRNA from 1 species
GCAUUCGUGUUCUAUGUCACCUUGCUUUAAUUCUUCCAAAAAUUUGUUGGCCCUUCGGUAUCUUUUAUACACAGAAUUGGCUUUGUCCUCUGUUAAGAACACGCUGUCCAUGAUGAUCACUGUCAAGGCACAAAACUUGCAAAUAUCAAAUCGCUGCCGCCCGCCCGGCGGUCGCUGUGCGAGUAGCGGAGCACCGCCGGCCCCGCGCCGCCGCCGACCCGCACGCCGCUCCGCAACUCC